GGUGGAGUAUGGUUGCAAAGCUGAAACUUAACAGAAUUGACGGAAAGGCACCACCAAGAGUGGAGCCUGCAGCUUAAUUUGACUCAACACGGGAAUCCUCACCCAGCCUGGACACACACAGGAUUGACAGAUUGAUAGGUCUUUCUCGAUUCCUUGGGUGGUGGUUCAUGGCUGUUCUUAGUUGGUGGAGCGAUAUGUCUGGUUAAUUCAGAUAAGGAAGAAGACUCUGGCAUGCUAACUAGUUACGCGACCCCCAAGCAGUCGGGGUCCCCCAACUUCUUAGAGGGACAAGUGGUGUUCACCCACCUGACAGUGAGCAAUAACAGGUCUGUGAUGCCCUUAGAUGUCCUGGGCUGCACGUGCACCACACUGACUGGCUCAGCAUGUGCCUAUCCUAUGCCUGCAGGCGCGUGUAACCCAUUGAACCACAUUCAUGAUGGAGAUCGGGGAUUACAAUUAUUCCCUAUGAAAGAGGAAUUCCCAGUAAGUGCGGGUCAUAAGCUUGCUUUGAUUAAGUCCCUGUCCCUUCUACACACUACCCUUUGCUACUACUGAUUGGAUGGUUUAGUGAGGCCUCAUCCGCCCAUGGCCCUGUGGGAGGGCUGAGAAGAUGGUGGAACUUGAUUAUCUAGAGGAAGUAAAAGUCAUAACAAGGUUUCUGUAGGUGAACCGGUGGAAG
rnacentral:ncRNA from 1 species